rnacentral:rRNA from 1 species
CCUACGGGAGGCAGCAGUGGGGAAUAUUGGACAAUGGGCGAAAGCCUGAUCCAGCCAUGCCGCGUGUGUGAAGAAGGCCUUCGGGUUGUAAAGCACUUUCAGUGGGGAAGAAAGCCUUGGGGCUAAUACCCUCGAGGAAGGACAUCACCCACAGAAGAAGCACCGGCUAACUCAGUGCCAGCAGCCGCGGUAAUACGGAGGGUGCGAGCGUUAAUCGGAAUUACUGGGCGUAAAGCGCGCGUAGGCGGUCUGAUAAGCCGGUUGUGAAAGCCCCGGGCUCAACCUGGGAACGGCAUCCGGAACUGUCAGGCUAGAGUGCAGGAGAGGAAGGUAGAAUUCCCGGUGUAGCGGUGAAAUGCGUAGAGAUCGGGAGGAAUACCAGUGGCGAAGGCGGCCUUCUGGACUGACACUGACGCUGAGGUGCGAAAGCGUGGGUAGCAAACAGGAUUAGAUACCCGAGUAGUC